rnacentral:lncRNA from 1 species
GGAGGCAGUGCUGGCCGAAGGCGUGAAGAGAGGGAGGGGGAUGGCGGGGCAAGCAAACAUGGGCCCCGUGCCUUGCACCACACCUGCUGGGCCUGCAGCCCCCCACUCACCUCCGUGGGCCGGCGGGGCAGCUGUCCAGGCUGGGCGGAGGAGAGCGCGGGGGUCCUGGCUGUGGACCAGACUCUGAGAAGACAAAUCAGCAAGGGACUCGAGGGGCUCUCCCAACCUCAGAGCCCCCCCACCCCAGGCAGGGCAGUCAGUGCUCUCUCUGGUGGGCCCCAGACAGGGCAGGGCUGGGGCACUCCGGGAGGGCACUGCCCACUGAGACUAGACAAAGGGGACGCUAUCCCAGUGGUUUUCAGGGUAUUAACUUCCCCGGAGGGGGCAGCAGGGCACCCCUUACCUGCCGGUGGCUGCGGGCAGGGGCACGCAGCCCUCCUCAUCGGAGCCAUCCUCACAGUCCUUCGCCCCGUCACACGGCUCCCCCCGUGGAGCACACUCGCCACUGGCACAGCGGUGCCCACCCCCUGGGCACGGGGGCGCAGCCAGCGGGGACACUGGUGGGAGGGGGUGGCUGAGGGCUCCUGUCUGUCCCUCCUCCUGUGCCUGCCCCUCCCGCCCCCCGCCCAUGGUACCUGGCUCACAGCCCAGCAGCUCCACCCGCAGGGGGAUGCUCUGGUUGGGGUCACGGCGGGGGACGUGCGGCCACACCCGGACGUGCUGCGCCUGCACCAUCUGGCCAAAUGUCUGCACUGUGGGGGCCCCGUCACCCCAGUUCCUAGGGAAAAGCUGCAGGGACAGGGGUGCCGGCCUUCUCUCCAGGCUGCCACCCUGACCCUGUUCAAGCCCCCCAGACUUCAAGGCACGAAGCGCUCCUGCUCUCCUGGCGUGAAACAUCUGCAUCCCUCAAGGCUGUGGGUUCUGGCCCUGGUGCCCCGAGGGCAGCGGCCACGUUGUGGACAUUUGUGUUUCCCCAGAGACAGAAUUAAGAGUAAAUACAUGGUAUAG